rnacentral:rRNA from 1 species
GACAUAGGUCGCGAACGUUAUCCGGUUUUUUAUUUGGGCGUAAAGGGGUUGCGUAGGUGGUGAAAUAAGUUUUUUUAGCGGUGGGGAAAUCGGGGCUCAACCCCCGUGGAAGCCGGUUAAUACUUGUUUUUCGCUAGAGGGACAGAAGAGGUUUGACGGAACUCUAUUGUGUAGGGUAAAAUCUGAAGAUAUAUAGAAGAACAUCAAAGGCGAAGGCAGUUUAACUAUUUCUGCCCCCCUGACAUUUUUUUUUUUUUGAGGCACGAAAAGCGUGGGGGGAGCGAAAACGG